UACGGAGGGGGCUAGCGUUGUUCGGAAUUACUGGGCGUAAAGCGCACGUAGGCGGCUUUGUAAGUCAGAGGUGAAAUCCCGGGGCUCAACUCCGGAACUGCCUUUGAGACUGCAUCGCUUGAAUCCAGGAGAGGUGAGUGGAAUUCCGAGUGUAGAGGUGAAAUUCGUAGAUAUUCGGAAGAACACCAGUGGCGAAGGCAGCUGCCUGGCCUGACACUGACGCUGAGGUGCGAAAGCGUGGGGAGCGAACGGG
rnacentral:rRNA from 1 species